GACCCGAGGCAAUGCCCCAGAACGUGCAGACGAUCAGCGUCGCCACCGCGAGCGAGGCAGGCACGCGGCGGAACGCAAGCUGGAUCGAGUAGAACAUCUUGUCCACCAGCGCGCCGCGCUCCAUCACGUAACCCAUGAGGACGAACAGCGGGAUGGAGAUCAGGACGUCGUUGGUCAUCGCGCCGUAGGUGCGCUGGACCAUCAGGUCGAAGAUAUGGUUGUCGGCCCAG
rnacentral:misc_RNA from 1 species